rnacentral:rRNA from 1 species
CGGUAAUUCCAGCUCCAAUAGCGUAUAUUAAAGUUGUUGCAGUUAAAAAGCUCGUAGUUGGAUUUCUGCGGGGACGGAGCGGCCGGUCGCAACUUGCGACUCGAGCUAGCGCUUUCCCCGCAUCCUGCCGCGAACCGUGCUACCAUUAGCUUGGUGGCGCUGGGGAUCGGCUCGAUUACUUUGAGAAAAAUAGAGUGUUCGAAGCAGGCCACACGCCUUGAAUAAGUUAGCAUGGAAUAAUGACUAAGGACUUCGGUUCUAUUUUGUUGGUGUUCGGGACUGAAGUAAUGAUUGAUAGGGACAGUUGGGGCGGUCUGUAUUCCAAAGCGAGAGGUGAAAUUCUUAGACCUUCGGAAGACAAACAGCUGCGAAAGCGUUCCGCAAGGAUGUUCCCUUUGAUCAAGAACGAAAGUUGGGGGAUCGAAGACGAUCAGAUACCGUCGUAGUCUCAACUAUAAACUAUACCAGCUAGGGAUCGGUCAACGUUUAAUCAUUCGACUUGAUCGGCACCUUAUGAGAAAUCAAAGCAUCUGGGUUCCGGGGGGAGUAUGGUCGCAAGGCUGAAACUUAAAGGAAUUGACGGAAGGGCACCACCAGCCGUGGAGCCUGUGGCUUAAUCUGACUCAACACGGGGAAACUUACCAGGUCCAGACAUAGUAAGGAUUGACAGAUUGAUAGCUCUUUCUUGAUUCUGUGGGUGGUGGUGCAUGGCCGUUCUUAGUUGGUGGAGUGAUUUGUCUGGUUAAUUCCGUUAACGAACGAGACCCCAGCCUGCUAAAUAGCGCGGUUGAGCUUUGCUCGGUGCGAGCUUCUUAGAGGGACUAUGAUGCGCGAUAGCACAUGGAAGUUUGGGGCAAUAACAGGUCUGUGAUGCCCUUAGAUGUUCUGGGCCGCACACGGGCUACACUGGCGCCUGCAACGAGCAUAUCAGCUGGCCCGAGAGGGUCUUGGCUAAUCUUUUGAACCGGCGCCGUGCUUGGGAUUGACCUUUGCAAUUGUUGGUCAUGCAACGAGGAAUGCCUUGUAAACGCGAGUCAUCAGCUCGCAUUGAAUACGUCCCUGCCCUUUGUACACACCGCCCGUCGCUCCUACCGAUGAAUGUUCCGAUGAAAUUUUCGGAGAGCGCCAGAGAACGGGGCUCCGCCUUGCAGAUCUGGAGGCUCAAAGUCACUUAAAUCUGAACAUCUCGAGGAAGGAGAAGUCGUAACAAGGUAACC